rnacentral:rRNA from 1 species
GUGCACCAGUCGCGAAACCUCCGCAAUACACGAAAGUGUGACGGGGUUACUCAAAGUGUCCAAAUUUGGACUGUGGUAGGUGAGUAAUGUCCCCUACUAGAAAGGAGAGGGCAAGGCUGGUGCCAGCCGCCGCGGUAAAACCAGCUCUUCAAGUGGUCGGGAUAAUUAUUGGGCUUAAGGUGUCCGUAGCCGGUUUAGUAAGUUCCUGGUAAAAUCGGGUAGCUUAACUAUCUGUAUGCUAGGAAUACUGCUAUACUAGAGGGCGGGAGAGGUCUGAGGUACUACAGGGGUAGGGGUGAAAUCCUGUAAUCCUUGUAGGACCACCAGUGGCGAAGGCGUCAGACUGGAACGCGCCUGACGGUGAGGGACGAAAGCCAGGGGAGCGAACCGGAUUAGAUACUCGCGUAGU